AUUGAACGCUGGCGGCAGGCCUAACACAUGCAAGUCGAACGAGUGGCGGACGGGUGAGUAAUGUCUGGGAAACUGCCUGAUGGAGGGGGAUAACUACUGGAAACGGUAGCUAAUACCGCAUACCAUCAGAUGUGCCCAGAUGGGAUUAGCUAGUUGGUGGGGUAACGGCUCACCAAGGCGACGAUCCCUAACUGGUCUGAGAGGAUGACCAGCCACACUGGAACUGAGACACGGUCCAGACUCCUACGGGAGGCAGCAGUGGGGAAUAUUGGACAAUGGGCGAAAGCCUGAUGCAGCCAUGCCGCGUGUGUGAAGAAGGUCUUCGGGUUGUAAAGUACUUUAAGUGGGGAGGCGUUACCCGCAGAAGAAGCACCGGCUAACUCCGUGCCAGCAGCCGCGGUAAUUC
rnacentral:rRNA from 1 species